rnacentral:rRNA from 1 species
GAUGAACGCUGACAGAAUGCUUAACACAUGCAAGUCGAUGGGGAAGUGGUGCUUGCCCCAUGGCAACCAUGGCGGACGGGUGAGUAACGCGUAAGAGACUUACCUGCAGGACUGGGAUAACAGGGGGAAACUCCUGACAAGACCGGAUAAUGUCAUGGAGCUGCAUGGCUUUAUGAUGAAAGGAGACGCCUGCGGAGAGCCUUGCGUCCUAUUAGCUAGUUGGUGAGGUAAUGGCUCACCAAGGCGAAGAUAGGUAGCCGGCCUGAGAGGGUGGACGGCCACAAGGGGACUGAGAUACGGCCCUUACUCCUACGGGAGGCAGCAGUGGGGAAUAUUGGACAAGGGGGGCAACCCUGAUCCAGCAAUUCUGUGUGCACGAAGAAGGUUUUCGGAUUGUAAAGUGCUUUCAGCAGGGAAGAAGUAAGUGACGGUACCUGCAGAAGAAGCGACGGCUAAAUACGUG